UUUUAAAUGGUUGAAGCAUUACUAGGAGCCUCUGGGGAAUAAGUCAGAGAGCUGUCUUUGUUGGCCUUUAUGCUUGGAAUGGCUUGGCUUCUCAUGAUUGCAAGCUAAUGAAACUAUUCAGGAUAAGCUUUGGCGCCAAAUCGGGAACACUUCAGGAUCCAUUGAGAUGAUCUUUGCAGAGCUCACACUGGUGCAGCCAGAGGGAGGAUCCUGAUUUAGUAGUUUCUACUUCAGGUGAGGACACGAGACACAGGUCAAGCAUCCAGUGUGGCAACGCAGUUAGUUUAUGUGUGAAGUGAGUGCUGGCAGGUGCUCAGGCAUGAAGCCCAGCUACUGAGGGAGGGAUUCCACUGCUAUGCAGCCCAGACUGCCCCCAUGGCCAAGGGCAGCCAGCAGGUUAUAAUUUUGAGGCUUUUUACAAUGGCAGAUUUUUGAAUCACUUAUUUUUUUCUCUCUUAAAACAAUGCAUCAAGUUGAGGGGCUUUUUGCUCAUUGCCACAGCCUUGAGAAACUCCUGUUGCCGAUUAGUUUUAUUUUGGGGCUUCUCUUUGCUCAGAGUUAUCUAGCCCUGCAGGUGGAUUUGAUGAGCUUUACUCCAGGGUUGAAAGGAGACUAGUAUUUGUGCCUUAUCAUUUGUUAAAGCCCACCUAAUGUGGGAGCCGCUCAGUAGCCAAUCAAUAUCCUGGGGAAAAAAAAGCCUUGUAAUUGGAGUCUGAAGACCUAGAUCUAAGCCCUAAGCUCUACGAAGUAUUAGCUAUGUCAUUAAGGCAAGUGAUUAAACCUCUCUGAAACUCAGUUUCCUCAUAUGUCGAAAUGGUCCUUGGUUAUAUGAACAGAGAGAUUGCCCCAAACUAGCAGCAGUUUUAAGAGAGAUACCCAUGAGUGGAGGGAGGAGGGAUAGCAUUAGGAGAUAUACCUAAUGUAAAUGAUGAGUUAAUGGGCGCAGCACACCAACAUGGCACAUGUAUACAUAUGUAACAAACCUGCACAAUGUGCAUACGUACCCUGGAAUGUAAAGUAUAAUAAAAAUGAAUAAAUUAAUAAAAAUUUUAAAAAGAGAGAUUUUCGCUAUCUGGCUAAUAAUAAAUGGGACAUGAGCAGCAGCUUUAAGCCCUCAUUGUCAUUUUUGGAAGAGAAGUUGUCCAAACUUUAAUAGCUUUUCCAACAGGUAUACAACAGCUUAUCUCCCUUAAUUAUUUAAGAAAAUAUUUUGCAACUAACUUUCCUGGAGGGGUUGGUAAAAAUUACGCUAUAUGACAUGAUAAAUCUCAUAGGAGUGUCCUUGAUUUAUUUGGUCACCGUGCCAGACAUUAAGCUAGAUGCUGAGGACACUGGCACUGUCUUCAAAGACUUUACAGCCUUGAAAGGGAGAGAGGCAACUACAUAUAAAACUGCAAUGAAGUAUAAUAAAACUGUGAUAGACUCUUCCAUAGGGUGCCAAGAGAGGCAAACAGAUAAUACAUACCUCCUGUUGAAUGUUCACGAUCCCACCUCCGAAGUAGCUUUGCAAAAAAUUGAACUUGAAUUUCACAAGCCAGAAGAAGUGGCUCAUGCCUAUAAUCCUAGCUACUCAGGAGGCUGAGGUGAGAGGGUCGCUUGAGGCCAGAAGUUCAAGACCACCCUGGGCAACAUAGCAAGACUUCCUCUCCCUGGCCCCUCUCUAAAAGAAUUUUAAAAGUCAGCUAGGCAUGAAUCCACUCCAGCCUGGGCAACAGAGUGAAAUACUGCCUGUAAAGAAAAAAUAAAGCAAGAACAAGUAACUGGGGCCUCACAAAUUUGGAUGAAGAGGAAAACAGCUGUGAGAUUUAAAUGUAAAAAUAAGCCACAAUCACACAGCUAUAUAGUUGAAGAAGGAGUAUUU
rnacentral:lncRNA from 10 species